rnacentral:pre_miRNA from 1 species
AAAAAAAACGGACCGUCGGCCUACCGAGUAAGUAUCACCCGCUCGGUGGAAAAUAUUCCCUUUCGU